GAGGGCGUAGCUCAGUGGUAGAGUGUGUACUUAGCGUGUGCAAGGUACUGGGUUCAAUCCCCAGUACCUCCA
rnacentral:tRNA from 1 species